GGGUAAAAGACCGGGUGUUGUAAAGUUUCUAAGCUGCAAGGUCUGAGUUAAAAUGUAAAGGAUUAGGUAUUGUUAGGUUCCUAUGCUACCUGCAAAACCUGAAAUUUCUGUAGCUGUUAAGACAAUGCUUGGAACUGCCCAGUAAAUAUUUCCCCUGACUAUUUGGUUGUUUAAUAAAGGCUCUGUGUGGUCGCACAUAGGCAUUGCAGGGCCUGGACCAAUCAGUUUAAAUGUAACCCCCUCCUUAGGAAUGACCUGUCACUCCAGCCUGACCUGUUCCUGCCAAUGAAUGAACUAAUCAUGUUUAGGAGUUGUUGUUCAAUUUUCCCGUGCCUCAUGAUGAUUUGUUCUGAUGUAUACAAAGCCCUCCGCCCUCCCCAAAAAGUGUACUUAAGCAGUGCUCAGCCCCUGCUCGGGGCUCUGGGCUGCUUUCCCUUCUUGAGU
rnacentral:lncRNA from 1 species